rnacentral:lncRNA from 1 species
AACCCAUUGGCUGUAAGUGGGUCUAUAAAAUCAAAUACAAGUCUGAUUGUCUUGUUGAAAGGUAUAAAACAAGGCUUGUUAUUAGGGGUGAUACACAAGUUGAGGGGAUUGAUUUUACUGACACUUUUUCUCAUGUGAUUAAGAUGACCACUGUGAAAUGCCUUAUUGUUGUGGCUGUCAAGAAUCACUGGCCUCUGUUUCAACUAGAUGUCAAUAAUGCUUUUCUCCAUGGGGAUUUGGAUGAUGUUGUGGCUGUCAAGAAUCACUGGCCUCUAUUUCAGCUUGAUGUCAACAAUGCUUUUCUCCAUGGUGAUUUGGAUGAGGAAGUUUACAUGAAACUUCCUCCAGGUUUGAUAGUUUCUGCUCCUAUUUCUGGUUCUGUUUCUCCUCCUUCUUCUACUUCUUCUCCUCUGGUCUAUAAACUCAAGAAAUCCCUAUGUGGGCUUAGACAAGCAUCCACACAAUGGUAUGCCAAGUUGUCUUUUGCUCUUUAUUCCAGAGGGUACAAACAUUCUUUGAAUGACUAUUCUUUGUUCAUCAAAGGU